UACGUAGGGUGCGAGCGUUAAUCGGAAUUACUGGGCGUAAAGGGUGCGCAGGCGGUUAUAUAAGACAGAUGUGAAAUCCCCCGGGCUCAACCUGGGAACUGCGUUUUGUGACUGUAUGACUAGAGUACGGUAGAGAGGGGGUGGAAUUCCUGGUGUAGCAGUGAAAUGCGUAGAGAUCCGGAAGAACACCGGGUGGCGAAGGCGGUCUGCUGGGGGUAAUGCUGACACUGAUGCGCGACAGCGGUGGGGAGCAAACAGG
rnacentral:rRNA from 1 species